rnacentral:rRNA from 1 species
AUGAUGGCCUCGUCGGGGCAGCGCGCGGUGGCUCUCGCCGCGCUCGUGGUCGUCGUUCUGGUCGCCGGAGCAGGCCCUGCUGGCGGGGCGCGGCAGAUGCCGGUGGAGAGGAGCGGGGACGGCGCGGCGGCAACGGUGGUGGUGGCGGAGAAGGCUACGGAGACGGUGGAGAUGCUCAUGGCGAGGCUGCCGGCCGGGCCCAGCAACAGGGGCGCCGGCCACUAG